UGACCUCACCUCAUUCACGUUUCUUUUUCUUUGACAUUUGUUUUGGGAUAUAGGAGGACAUAUACAGAAAAACAAAAAAGAGGGGACCUCAAUUCCAUCCAAAAGAAUACACACUCACGGGCCCACAGAAGAGGCCUUUUUGCUUCUUCUUUCUUUCCCAAAUUGAAAAGGAUAUAUACAGCACUAUAUAGACGCACAAAAAAGGGCCUCCAUUUUUUCUUUUUUCAUCUAGAUGCUGCAUACACAGCAAACACUGAUCAUUUUCAUUCUCUUGUACAAUUAAACACAUACCCACAUAUAUACACUACACGAGAGAGAAAACCAAGAAGGGAGGCCUCCAUUUUGUUUCUUCUGCGCCAGAGAAAACCAAAAAAAAUAGAGGCUCCAUUCUCCCUUUUCAUAAUCAAAACACACACAUACACCACUACACGCGGAGAUGGAGGGAGAUUAUUGAGAGAUCAAAUAGUGAGAUUGAGCGAGGGAGAUGAGAGAGAGAGCAAGAUUGAGAGCAAACAGUGAAAAAGGGGAGCAAAUCGGGGAAAACCAGCGAGAACGACCAUUGUUUUAUACUAUUUCGUCACUGUUGAAGCUCGACGUAGCUCGUAGGUCGACCAACAAUACCAAACACACACAUACACGAUUAGGAAAGUGGGUUUGGGUCCUGUGAUUUUCAAAUCUGGUCCGGGUUGGCGAAAACACAACAAAAAGGGACCAAAGUUGAUGAUUUGGGUUCGUGAUUGAUAUUCGAUGUUGAGGUUCCAUUGGAGGCGGUUCUAUUCAAAAAGAUCAGUUAAUCAAUAAAGCAUUGAGGUCCACUUCUCAUCUCAUUCUCUAUUCUAUUUUUGGAAUUUUAGUUGUAUGUUAUGGGUGUGAAUAACUUGUUUGUUAUGGGUCCAUUUUAGUUUUUUGGAAUUUCUCGAAAAGAGUUGUUUGUAUUUGAAUCUUUGUUAUGUGUAUGUGGUUGAUGUUGGAUUUGAUAUCGAAGAAUUGGUUAAUUAGUUUGACUAUAGAAUUGGGAAAGACGAGAAUUGAAAGUUGAUAAAAAUGAAUAUCGUUGUUUUUUAUUCAUUGUUGAUGUUGAACGUGAUAUGUCAUCGAGCGGGUAGGCAAACAGUAGGCUUGGGUAGGCAAAUUUAGAAUUGUUGGAUUGUUGGAAUGCUUGGAAUAUUUGUUGAAUGUUUUGUUUAUCGUAUUUGAAAAGCGUAUUCAUUUAGCCGGGGAAUGCCUCGAGGUCAUUUGUAUUUACUCACCGGGGAAUGCCCCAAAGAAUUUUGUACGCGAAGGAUGUUCGUGAUCAAGGCCCGUGGCAUCGGGUAAAACAUAGUUUAGUACUAGUGUAGGUUAUUUCAGUAUUUUUUAUUUCGAUUUGUAAUAAAUUGGACUGGAUGUUAAAUUUUGGAUUGUUUUGUUUUGUUUGCUUUCUUGA